rnacentral:rRNA from 1 species
CCUACGGGCGGCAGCAGUGGGGAAUAUUGGGCAAUGGGCGCAAGCCUGACCCAGCAACGCCGCGUGAAGGAAGAAGGCUUUCGGGUUGUAAACUUCUUUUGUCAGGGACGAAGCAAGUGACGGUACCUGACGAAUAAGCCACGGCUAACUACGUGCCAGCAGCCGCGGUAAUACGUAGGUGGCAAGCGUUAUCCGGAUUUAUUGGGUGUAAAGGGCGUGUAGGCGGGAAUGCAAGUCAGAUGUGAAAACUAUGGGCUCAACCCAUAGCCUGCAUUUGAAACUGUAUUUCUUGAGUGCUGGAGAGGCAAGCGGAAUUCCGUGUGUAGCGGUGAAAUGCGUAGAUAUACGGAGGAACACCAGUGGCGAAGGCGGAUUGCUGGACAGUAACUGACAUUGAUGCUCGAAAGUGUGGGUAUCAAACAGGAUUAGAUACCCUGGUAGUC